AGGGCAGAUCCGGAUCAGGGGGCGCGGCCAGGUUUUUUUCCCUUCACCUUGCGGAAUAUGACUUUUUAAAACUUUUUCACCUGAUUUCUCUGAGAAUAAUUAAUGGAUCUUGAUCGGACAAUCUGUUUAUUCAGGUGUCAACAUAAUACAAAAGUACACAUAACGUAACAUAAUCUAAAUAUAUCCGACACAACGGGCGUGUCCUGUGACGGUUUGUUGGAACGUGUUUUACUUUCGUUUCAGUGAAGACGAGGCUGUGCAGAGGGUAGUGGAGACUGACGGUGCCUUCAGGUGCAGAGAACACUGACUCUGCAGUAGACACAGGUUCUUAUCGGCUCUGGCUCUGAUCGGCAGUGAUUUGAAAUUUGACUUCCUGGUGAACUCAUUUGGCAGCAAGAGAUGAGAUGAUCCUGAACCUGCUGCUCAUCACCACGAUCUCCUGUGUCUGUGGAAAAAAUGUUGUGAAAGUGACACAGACCGACUAUCAGGCUGAGGAGAACGACAGCGUCACUCUGGAAUGGACGUUCACAACCAGAAGUGACAAAUCCCCCAACUUACUUAUGAUCAUCUGUAAACUGGUAACAGACCACAGAGUCUCUGUCGUGUAUCGACUACAUGACGGUGUUGAGGAUCCAGAGCUUCAGGAUGAACAGUUUUCAGGACGAGUCCAGUGUGACAGAGACGUCCUCAGAGAAGGACGACUCAGACUUCAUGUGUCCAGACUCAGGACUGAAGACUCAGGCCAGUACAAGUGUGUAGUGAGGACAAGAUAUGGCCAGAGUGCAGACAAAUGCCGACUCAAUGUCACUGCCACUGUUGCUCAGGAACAACAUAUGACCAAAACUGUGAACCCAGAGCCACUGGGUCAGGAAAGGUUCUACAUCUCACUUGGUGCAGGAAUAAUGACAGCAGUAAUCAUAAUAGUAAUAAUAGUAGCGAUGACAGCAACACUACUAGGAAUGCAAGAAUAUACAGCAGUGAUAACAGUAAUAGUAGUGAUAGCAGUAUUAUUUUCAAUAGCAGUAGUAGUAUGUUCAAUAACAGCAGCAACAGCAGCAGUUACAGCAGGAUUGCUGUCGGGAGGAUCGAUAUUAUUUGCAGUGUUUGUAGUUCUGUCAGCUUACUGUAUACCCACCUGCUCUAGCGUCAGUCCCUCAAAUUCAGAGAGCGGGAGUGACAGCAGCAGCAGCAGAUACAAAAUGUGUCCAACUAAACUCUCUAUCUAAAUACAAUAUUUUUGAUAUUUUCAAUGUGGCCGAUGUUUUUUCUUCUCUCUCGAAGAUUAAAAAAAACAUUUAGACCAACAUGUGUUUUGGUGAUUUGCAAACAAAUCUACAAAAGCACUGGUGGUUGAUCUAAUAUCUGAACAGACAAACAUUUGACAGAAUUCUAAGGACAUUUACGUCAGUGUAACAGGUCUCAGGUUGAGAUUCCAUAAGCAGAUCAGAUUUCCUGUAUAAGAAAGAAUGAGACAGACGGCAGGAGCUUCUGUCCAGUGUCUGAUUCUUUAUUCAUUCAAAUGUUAUCUUACCAAUACAAAUAUCCAAAUACACAAAAUAUAUAUCGACACUUUCUUUCAAACAGGUCAAAUAAAACACACAUUCUCAACUUCUCUGUUCAUUCAGAGUUAUUCUCAGUGUUCACAGCUAUUGACUAAUAAGCGUUACUUGGGAAUAUUUCCCUUUUUUUUUAUCUUACUUAUAUAUUGCAAAUAAAUCAGUGUAAUACUGAAAAAAAACAAACUAGUUUAAACUAAAAUAUGAUGUAACAUUUAAAUGGCACUUUCUUAUGGCACUUUGUAGUUUGGGUUUCUUGAAGAAAAUUGUACUUUCUUGAUUCUUGUUGUUCUGGGUUUGUUCCCUCAGGGUCGAUGCACUUAUUGUAAGUAGCUUUGGAUAAAAGCAUCAGCUAAAUGUAAUGAAAUGUAAUAUAAUGUAAAUACAUGAGCUGAGCUUGCAAAAAACUACUUUUUACCUUUUGUGAAUAUUAAGAAUACACACCCUGGACUUUAACAAUAUUUUACAGAGUGUAUAUGUAUGUAUGUAACCAGCUUGUAUAACCAGAGAAAUUGAAUUUAUUCAAAAUGAAAUGCACUGGAGCCAAAACCUAACACAUUCCAGUCAAAUAAAGUAAAUUUUGCCUAAA